rnacentral:rRNA from 1 species
CAUGGUUUUUUGAAUUUAAUUUAAAAUUUAAUCUGCUCAAUGAUUAUUUAAAUUGCCGCAGUAUAUUAACUGUGCAAAGGUAGCAUAAUAAUUAGUUUCUUGAUUAGAAGCUGGAAUGAAUGAUUGGACGAUAAAAUGACUGUCUCUUAAUAAUUAAUUAAUGAAUUUUAUUUUUAAGUUAAAAAGCUUAAAUUUUUUUAAAAGACGAGAAGACCCUAUAGAGUUUUAUAAAAAAUUUAUUUAUAUACAUAUUAGAAUUUUUAUAAAUAUUUUUUAUUUGGUUGGGGUGAUUUAAAAAUUUAAUUAAUUUUUUAAUAAUUUAAUUUUUAAUUUGAAAGUUUUUAAUCUUUUAUUAUAAAAAUAAAAUAAAUUACCUUAGGGAUAACAGCGUAAUUUUUUUUUAAAGUUCAUAUUGAAAAAGAAGUUUGCGACCUCGAUGUUGGAUUAAAAUUAAUUUUUGGCGCAGUAGCUGAUAAAUUAAGUCUGUUCGACUUUUAAAAUUUUACAUGAUCUGAGUUUAAACCGGUGUAAGCCAGGUUGGAUUCUAUCUUUAAUUUUAUAAAACAUUUUAGUACGAAAGGACCAUUUGUUUAUUUUAUUAAUUG